GCCGCUUUAGCUCAGUUGGUAGAGCACGUCAUUCGUAAUGACGGGGUCAGGUGUUCGAGUCACCUAAGCGGCA
rfam:Aureimonas sp. Leaf460 contig_76, whole genome shotgun sequence.